GUGAGGAAUUUUCCGCAAUGGGCGAAAGCCUGACGGAGCAAUGACGCGUGAAGGAUGAAGGCCUAUGGGUUGUAAACUUCUUUUCUCAGAAAAGAAUUAUGACGGUAUCUGAGGAAUAAGCAUCGGCUAACUCUGUGCCAGCAGCCGCGGUAAGACAGAGGAUGCAAGCGUUAUCCGGAAUGAUUGGGCGUAAAGCGUCUGUAGGUUGUUUAAAAAGUAUUCUGUCAAAGAUUAGGGCUUAACCCUAGAUAGGCAGAAUAAACUUUUAAGCUAGAGUUUGGUAGAGGCAGAGGGAAUUCCCGGUGGAGCGGUGAAAUGCGUAGAUAUCGGGAGGAACACCAAAGGCGAAGGCACUCUGCUGGGCCAAUACUAACACUGAGAGACGAAAGCGAGGGGAGCAAAUGGGAUUAGAAACCCGUGUAGUCC
rnacentral:rRNA from 1 species